GGUACCGGAAGUGCUAGCCACAGCGACUUCAGGUAGUCUCGGUCUUAGCGGAUUCCGCGGACUUUCUUGUCUUUCUGCGUACUGCACUAACUGAGCGACCAAUUGAUACCUAAGUUUAGCUGAACUUUUUGUUGAAUUAAUUAAAACUGUUUUGAAAUCUAUUCUGUAAGAGCCUGAGAAAAAUUGCGGCCACAGAAGCUGUUUUGAAAUGCGCUUGGCUUCCGACUUCCGCAAGGGGAGGCAGCUGUUUCUUGUAGACCUGGACUUAAUCUCAGCUGGUGUACAGAGUUCUCUCCAAAAACAAGUGGCCUACUUCACAUUCAGUGAAUUGAUAUAUUCUUAUUUUAAGUUAUCAGGAAAAAAAGUCCUUGGGAAUUGAGAAGCCAAUGAGAUUAGUCGUUCAAGCUGAAGUCAUUCUAUCUGCUAGCUGUCUGGAGCCACUGAAGCUGUGGGCGAACAGCAACAAGUUUAAGCUACAUCUGCACACUCUGCGGUCCAUCCAGAGACCAAGAAAGAAGCACAAGGAUCCUGCAGAGUCUUCCGAAGCCCAAGCCAAAUAUAUGAGGCAGGGAGCUAGAGAAUGUGGAGGAAGUGGUCAGUAGGAAAAGGAAUGGGAACAGACAUUCUCCUUCAGAAACUUGAGGUCCAGUCCCUGAACUUUAGCUGGCCCCAAAACUUGAGCAAGCUCUAAAAAGCAGAACAUCUCCCACUUAACAGUUUAUUCUGAGAACUGGCCAACCACAGGAGGGAAAAUCAUAUCUCCAGUUAAAGUGCCCUGAUCAUGCCAUCUGCUCAUCCUACCCCCUUUGCCCUGCUCCCACACAAAGUUCCUGCUAGCCCUGUUUACGUCUUCUUUUUUAAACUCUUUUUUUAAAAUUUGAUUUUUAGACAUUUGAAGAUUUCCAUGGUCAGAGGGUCUGUAAUAGUCUUUUUUGAAUAAAGCUGCUCCUUACCUAAAUCCAGAUUUGUUUUCAUUGAAUAUAAUAAUAAAUGACCAUAUUACUUUCACC